rnacentral:rRNA from 1 species
AUUGAACGCUGGCGGCAGGCUUAACACAUGCAAGUCGAGCGAGUGGCGGACGGGUGAGUAAUGUCUGGGAAACUGCCGGAUGGAGGGGGAUAACUACUGGAAACGGUAGCUAAUACCGCAUACCAUCAGAUGGGCCCAGAUGGGUGUAGCUAGUAGGUGGGGUAAGGGCUCACCUGGGCGACGAUCCCUAGCUGGUCUGAGAGGAGGACCAGCCACACUGGAACGGAGACACGGUCCAGACUCCUACGGGUGGCAGCAGUGGGGAAUGUUGCACAAGGGGCGCAAGCCGGAUGCAGCCAUGCCGCGUGUGGGAAGAAGGCCUUCGGGUUGUAAAGCACUUUCAGCGAGGAGGCGUUACUCGCAGAAGAAGCACCGGCUAACUCCGUGCCAGCAGCCGCGGUAAUAC